ensembl:lncRNA
AUGUUUAAUCUGAAACAGGGACAGAGGUUGGACUGGAUGUGUAAUCUGAAACAUGGACAGAGGUUGGACUGGAUGUUUAAUCUGAAACAGGGACAGAGGUUGGACUGGAUGUUUAAUCUGAAACAGGGACAGAGGUUGGACUGGAUGUUUAAUCUGAAACAGGGACAGAGGUUGGACUGGAUGUUCAAUCUGAAACAGGGACAGAGGUUGGACUGGAUGUUUAAUCUGAAACAGGGACAGAGGUUGGACUGGAUGUUUAAUCUGAAACAGGGACAGAGGUUGGACUGGAUGUUUAAUCUGAAACAGGGACAGAGGUUGGACUGGAUGUUUAAUCUGAAACAUGGACAGAGGUUGGACUGGAUGUGUAAUCUGAAACAUGGACAGAGGUUGGACUGGAUGUUUAAUCUGAAACAGGGACAGAGGUUGGACUGGAUGUUUAAUCUGAAACAGGGACAGAGGUUGGACUGGAUGUUUAAUCUGAAACAGGGACAGAGGUUGGACUGGAUGUUUAAUCUGAAACAGGGACAGAGGUUGGACUGGAUGUUUAAUCUGAAACAUGAGGAGACACAUCUGAGAAUAAUCCGUCCACAUGCAGGGUUCACACUGCCCAGCUCCCGGUGAACCGUGGCCUGGAAACAAAAGUCGCAUGAAGACCGGAAAGCAGUUGCGGUUUUGGUUCGAGAGGUUUGGAGCUGAUGGAUGGACGAAAGCUCUGCUCCAAGCCCACCCACUUCCUUGGUGAUUCAUUUCUGAUUGAACAUUCUGGCUCCCACCGUACCACACUUAAUCCCCUCAGUUGUUGAUUGGAUCACUGACGCUGAACUAAUGUUGGCCUCCCCCUGCUACCAGAGCUGCUAGAUAUGUUCUUACAAAGAGAGGCAAAAUCCAAAUCCCAGAUAAGGAAGUUGUCAUAACAACAUAAGAAAACAAAAAAGCUUGGUGUUAGAUUCCAGCAUUUUUACGAGAAUAUUAAAGAUUUUAGAGACUUUUUUCCACACCAAAUAAAACCAGCAGAUGAGAUGCUGAGCAAAACCAAAGCUGAAACAGUUGUUAAAGGUCCAGGGUGUAACACUGAGGAGGAUCUAUUGUCAGAAAUAUAAUAUAAUAUUCAUUGGUAUGUUUUCAUUAGUGUUUAAUAACCUGAAUAUAAGAAUCAUUUCGUUGAGUCCACCAUGUUGAACCGCCACGUUUCUACAGUAGCCCAGAACAGACAGACAAAACACUGGCUCUAGAUAGAGCCUUUUUUCCUGUUCUCCUUCCCAGGUCAUCAAAUACAAACGGCAGCGGUAUUGAGUUGGUUGCAAUCUGUAACUAGAUACCACUACAUCCUAUACACUGGUCCUUUAAAGCACGUGCUGCUGUUUGUAAAGCAUAUUGCUGUAACUGAAACCUAGAUGAGUAUCAAAUAUCAUCUGGAUAAUGACAGCUGGACAGUCAGAGGAUGUUCAUUUUAUUUUGAAAAUCCCCAGUGGUCCUUGCAUCCAGACCUUAUGAGUCCUUUAGCGCCAUAGGCUGUCCAAAUCCACCGUUCAUCGAAGCCACAAAUAGGCCUCUUCCACCAACAGGGACCCAGCACCCAGUUUUAAACAGUUUGGAGCUUUUCGACCAAAACUAAAUUGGUUUGAAACCUGAAAAGUUAGUCUCCAGCUAGAACCAAAAAAAUGUAAUAAAAAGGUUUUCCUUGGGAACCAAACUGGGCGUGUCAAAUUCUACAGGUCUUUGUGCAUUGUGCAGCGCCCUCUGUUGAUGAGUAUCCUUUAUUACAAUGGUUCAAGGGGUGCCCAGAUAGCUCACCUGGUAGAGCUGACACCCCAUGUACAAAGCAGACCUGCAGCCCUUUGCUCCAAAAACAAAAUACUGGUUCCACUCAAAACCAGUGGAAACAUGGGCUGCUUUACUAGAUAGCACCAAGGUUCCCCGAAUCUUGAACAGAAGUGGGAACCAAAGUGGGCGUGUCAUAUUCAACAGGUUGUUAUGCAGCGCCUUUUUUUGACGGAUCCUUUAAUGGUUUCACUAUAAACUGGAGGAGGGAGCUACGUAACAUCUGGUUUUAAAUACAGUCAUGGAGGACAGCAUCACCUUAUAUAUCUGCCCUGCUCUCCUCUACUAACAUGAUAUCUGUUUAGCCUGAAUCCAUGUGAAUGCAGCGUUAGACGGUUGGUUUUCUUCCAGCUAAGAAAGGACCACUUAUAAAGUCCUCAGGUGAGGGUUUCAUGUGAAUACAACAUCUACAGUGCUAAUGCUCAGGUGAAGGCAAAGCUUUACUGUGUGUAUCGACCAUCUAUCUCUGUUGAGUGAAGCAGCAGACCCUGAACACAUCUUGCAUUAUCUGCCAAUGUUGAGAACCAUUCAGACUUUGAGUUGGGUCACAGGGGGGCAAGAACUUGCAUUCAUAUCCAUGGAAACGAAUGGGAUGUAAAGCCCCGUCUCAUUUCUAAUUUUAUCCCCUCGUGAACAGAGGGUGGACGUUUGAUCGAGAGAGAGAGAGAGACAUCGUGUUGCAAAUGUCUGGAAGUGCGCCUCCUUCUUUUCACCUACGCUAACUUUGUGUCCUUUCUCUGUCUUCCAUCAAGCUUGUUUUGUAUAAAGCAUUAUAUAAAUUAAUGUAAUUUGAUUUAUGAGACCUGCCAGUUAAAAAGGGGUUGGGCUUUGUUUACUGCGGUAGACAUGGAGUAUGUACCCAGUGACUUUCUCCUGCAAAGAAUCACUCUGUCUCUCCAUCCAUUUAUCUUGUCUUCCAUGAACAGGGACCAUUUGAAGCACUUAGUAAAUACUUUAUUAACUCAAAACCCAAGUAGGGCCACGUCUAAUGAAAAAGGUUUUUUUAUACUGCCUUCGUAAUAUUGAUUGAAUUUAAAAGGCCACAAAAUGAGUAAAAAUGACAAUCGCAAUUUCCCAGAACCAGAAGUGAUUUCUUCAAAUGUCUUGUCCCUUCAGCAGUUUACCAAAACCCGAAGACAGUCAAUAAGGAUGUAAAACGGAAAAAACGGAAAACAUUUGGAAACACUAAGUGUGCAUUUUUUGGCUCAACAACUGACAUAAAGGUUGAUUAUAAAAAUGUGUGUCUAUUUUCUGUCAGGCUUAGCUGUCUUUUGAUGUCUUACUGCUAUAAUCAUAAUCAUAAUGUGCAUAUGUUAUUCAUACAGUUAAGUUUGUAAUAUUUAGCAUAUUGAAAUGCUUAAUUGUCAACAUACUGACAUUGCUGACAUUAGCAUUCAGUUCAGGCACACUGUAAAACAUUUCUGUAGAUUUUACAAUGAAAAACUGUAGAACCAUGACAGUAAAAGACCGUAAACUCAAAAUAGGUUAAAGUUUCAGUAACAGUAAAAUUUGUGGUGUGAAAUGAUAUUACUCAAACAAUAUAAACUACUAUUUCAAAAGGAAACCAAAACACACCCAUAGUGUGUUUACAAGGUGAGAAACAUGCCAAAGCUUAACUGCGAUCAUGGAUUGAAGAACAUUGGCCCAAUGACUCCAGCCAAACUUUAAAGAAGC